UCAACUCUGUCACACAUGUUCAGACUCUGUCCACUGCUGUGGUUCUACUGAAGCUGUGAUCCGAUUGGUCCUCUCUGCUCUGGUGGGCGUGGCUACUGUCAUUCUUCUGGUUUAUGACAUCAGAUCAAGAAGCUGAUCAGGAUCGAGCACAUAUUCACACAGCAGGCGGCUCAUUUCCACCCUAAAAGAUGAUUUGAGAACAAACCAUAACAUAUUCUCACAUUAAUGCUCAAAAUGCAAGUGAUACUGAAGAUUGCCAAAUAUUGCUUUGCCCACGCUAGAUUAUUUAAUAUAACGCUUUCAUUUUUAAUUAUAUUUUGUAAUCUAAUCUUCUCAUGCAGUUUGUUUAUAUUUUCUUCAGAUAAGACACACAGAUCUCACUUGAC